rnacentral:rRNA from 2 species
AGAGUUUGAUCCUGGCUCAGGAUGAACGCUGACAGAAUGCUUAACACAUGCAAGUCUACUUGAUCCUUCGGGUGAAGGUGGCGGACGGGUGAGUAACGCGUAAAGAACUUGCCUUACAGACUGGGACAACAUUUGGAAACGAAUGCUAAUACCGGAUAUUAUGAUUGGGUCGCAUGAUCUGGUUAUGAAAGCUAUAUGCGCUGUGAGAGAGCUUUGCGUCCCAUUAGUUAGUUGGUGAGGUAACGGCUCACCAAGACGAUGAUGGGUAGCCGGCCUGAGAGGGUGAACGGCCACAAGGGGACUGAGACACGGCCCUUACUCCUACGGGAGGCAGCAGUGGGGAAUAUUGGACAAUGGACCAAAAGUCUGAUCCAGCAAUUCUGUGUGCACGAUGAAGUUUUUCGGAAUGUAAAGUGCUUUCAGUUGGGAAGAAGUCAGUGACGGUACCAACAGAAGAAGCGACGGCUAAAUACGUGCCAGCAGCCGCGGUAAUACGUAUGUCGCAAGCGUUAUCCGGAUUUAUUGGGCGUAAAGCGCGUCUAGGCGGCUUAGUAAGUCUGAUGUGAAAAUGCGGGGCUCAACCCCGUAUUGCGUUGGAAACUGCUAAACUAGAGUACUGGAGAGGUAGGCGGAACUACAAGUGUAGAGGUGAAAUUCGUAGAUAUUUGUAGGAAUGCCGAUGGGGAAGCCAGCCUACUGGACAGAUACUGACGCUAAAGCGCGAAAGCGUGGGUAGCAAACAGGAUUAGAUACCCUGGUAGUCCACGCCGUAAACGAUGAUUACUAGGUG